rnacentral:rRNA from 1 species
UACAGAGGUCUCAAGCGUUGUUCGGAUUCAUUGGGCGUAAAGGGUGCGUAGGCGGCGCGGUAAGUCGGGUGUGAAAUCUCGGAGCUUAACUCCGAAACUGCAUUCGAUACUGCCGUGCUUGAGGACUGGAGAGGAGACUGGAAUUUGACGGUGUAGCGGUGAAAUGCGCAGAUAUCGGGAGGAACGACCUACUGGCGAAGGCGACUACCUGGCCGUGUUCUGACGCUGGAGGCGACGAAGGCUAGGGGAGAAACGGG